rnacentral:rRNA from 1 species
GGAAACAGUGGCUAAGACUGGAUAGGAAGAUAAAAGGCAUCUUUUAUCUUUUAAAAGACCUAGUAAUAGGUAUGCUUUAGGAGGGGCUUGCGCCAUAUUAGUUAGUUGGUAGGGUAAUGGCCUACCAAGACGAUGAUGUGUAGCUGGACUGAGAGGUUGAACAGCCACAUUGGGACUGAGACACGGCCCAAACUCCUACGGGAGGCAGCAGUAGGGAAUUUUCGGCAAUGGAGGAAACUCUGACCGAGCAACGCCGCGUGAAUGACGAAGUACUUCGGUAUGUAAAGUUCUUUUAUCAAGGAAGAAAAGCAAAUGGCGAACCAUUUGUUUGCCGGUACUUGAUGAAUAAGCCCCGGCUAAUUAUGUGCCAGCAGCCGCGGUAAGACAUAAGGGGCAAGUGUUAUCCGGAAUUAUUGGGCGUAAAGGGUGCGUAGGCGGUCUAGUAAGUCAGUGGUGUAAUGGCAACGCUUAACGUUGUCCGGCUAUUGAAACUGCUAAACUUGAGUUAGAUAGAGGCGAGUGGAAUUCCAUGUGUAGCGGUAAAAUGCGUAAAUAUAUGGAGGAACACCAGAGGCGUAGGCGGCUCGCUGGGUCUUAACUGACGCUGAGGCACGAAAGCGUGGGGAGCAAACAGGAUUAGAUACCCUGGUAGUCCACGCCGUAAACGAUGAGUACUAAGUGUCGGGUUAAACCGGUACUGAAGUUAACACAUUAAGUACUCCGCCUGAGUAGUACGUACGCAAGUAUGAAACUUAAAGGAAUUGACGGGACUCCGCACAAGCGGUGGAUCAUGUUGUUUAAUUCGAAGAUACCCGAAAAACCUUACCAGGUCUUGACAUGUUUUUGCAAAAUGAUAGUAAUAUCGUGGAGGUUACCAGAAACACAGGUGGUGCAUGGUUGUCGUCAGCUCGUGUCGUGAGAUGUUAGGUUAAGUCCUAAAACGAGCGAAACCCUUAUCGUUAGUUGCCAGCACGUUAUGGUGGGGACUUUAACGAGACUGCCAAUGAUAAAUUGGAGGAAGGUGAGGAUCACGUCAAAUCAGCAUGCCCCUUAUGACCUGGGCUACAAACGUGAUACAAUGGCUGUUACAAAGGGUAGCUGAAACGCAAGUUCUUGGCCAAUCCCCAAAAACAGUCCCAGUCCGGAUUGAAGUCUGCAACUCGACUUCAUGAAGUUGGAAUCGCUAGUAAUCGCGAAUCAGCAUGUCGCGGUGAAUACGUUCUCGGGGUUUGUACACACCGCCCGUCAAACCA